GGCCUGGCUGUUCGGUCCGCCUAACCGCGUGCACUGAUGCGGCCGGGCCUUUCCUUCUGGCUAACCUCAUGCCCUUUACUGGGUGUGCUGGGGAUCCAGGACUUUUACUUUGAAAAAAUUAGAGUGUUUAAAGCAGGCCUACGCUUGAAUACAUUAGCAUGGAAUAAUAGAAUAGGACUU
rnacentral:rRNA from 1 species